GUUGUCUUCAUCUUUCCCUUUCUCAUCUUCCAACUCUACCUCUACCUCUGCUUCUCCAUUUUCUACUUCGUCUAGCUCAGGUGAUACAUCAGAAGCAGAGUCCAACUCUGCAUCAAGAAAUGCUGCAAACUCAUCGCUGCUUGAUGAGUGGACGGGAGAAUCUGCCGUCAGACUCAUCUUGAAAGAUGAAGAACCGCCAUGUGGACG
rnacentral:misc_RNA from 1 species